rnacentral:ncRNA from 1 species
UGGGUAGUAUCGAAAAAGAGUUACACCAAAUUUUUUAGCAUUAAUUAUAUAUAAUACAACUCAUAUCUAUAAUGAAUGAGAUUGAAAU